rnacentral:rRNA from 1 species
GACGAACGCUGGCGGCGUGCUUAACACAUGCAAGUCGAACGGUGAAGCGCCUUCCUUUUUGGUGGGUGUGGAUGAGUGGCGAACGGGUGAGUAACACGUGAGUAACCUGCCCCCUUCUUCUGGAUAACCGCAUGAAAGUGUGGCUAAUACGGGAUAUUCUGGGUCUGUCGCAUGAUGGGUCUGGGAAAGAUAUUGUUUCGGUGGGGGAUGGGCUCGCGGCCUAUCAGCUUGUUGGUGGGGUGAUGGCCUACCAAAGCGGUGACGGGUAGCCGGCCUGAGAGGGUGGACGGUCACACUGGGACUGAGACACGGCCCAGACUCCUACGGGAGGCAGCAGUGGGGAAUAUUGCACAAUGGGCGCAAGCCUGAUGCAGCGACGCCGCGUGAGGGAUGGAGGCCUUCGGGUUGUGAACCUCUUUCGCCAGUGAAGCAGGCCUGCCUCGUUUGUGGGUGGGUUGACGGUAGCUGGAUAAGAAGCGCCGGCUAACUACGUG